CCUACGGGUGACAGCAGUGGGGAAUAUUGCACAAUGGUCGAAACCCUGAUGCAGCAACGCCGCGUGAGUGAUGACGGCCUUCGGGUUGUAAAGCUCUGUCUUCAGGGACGAAAUUGACGGUACCUGCCAAGGAAUCACUGGCUAACUCCGUGCCAGCAGCCGCGGUAAUACGGAGGGUGCGAGCGUUAAUCGGAAUUACUGGGCGUAAAGCGCUCGUAGGCGGUGUGUCAAGUCAAGGGUGAAAUCCCCGGGCUCAACGUGGGUACUGCCUGUGAAACUGGCAAACGAGAGUGUGAGAGAGGAUAGUGGAAUUCCAGGUGUAGGAGUGAAAUGCGUAGAUAUCUGGAGGAACAUCAGUAGCGAAGGCGACAAUCUGGCUCAUAACUGACGCUGAGGUGCGAAAGCGUGGGUAGCAAACAGGAUUAGAUACCCCAGUAGUC
rnacentral:rRNA from 1 species